GUGAAGCUAGUGCAGAGGAGUGCCCAGAAGUCACUGCCGAUGCUUCGGGUAGAAAAGCUAGUGCAGAAUGCCUAAAACCACUUUCUUGGAAGUCGCAGUUUUUGCAGAGAACGGUGAGCAUGAAGCUAGUGUAGGGGAGUGCCCAAAAGCCUCUUAUUUGGGGAGCACAGCUCCUGUAAAGGCAUAAGAGCAAGCAGCCGGUGCCACUGGCAAUGCUUCGGGUGGGAAAGCUAGUGCGGAGAACUGCCUAAAAGUCGCUUCCUCGGGGAGCACAGCUUCUGUAGAGGCUGGUAAGUGGGUGGCCUUUGAAGUGACUGAAACCAAGGUAGUGUGCCCUUUCCAAAGCACGGUGGGAGGAGGGAAGCAGCGUGGGUGAAGUACAUUGAGCGCGAAGCGAGGGUCUCGCAGGCUGUGUAAGGCACUAAACCAUACUGCCACUAUUGCAUCCCCCACCAUUGCUUGGGAAUGGAGGAGACCUUGCAUAGGGUACCUCUGUUCUUUGUAUGUGUCUGAUAAUCCAUUUUCUGGCUUGGGGGAGGACAGCCCAGCAUGUGCGACAAAGAGCAGGGCCACUGGAGGCAAGCAUUCCGCCACAGCCCUGCUGCAGAACCAUUUUCCUGCAGGCCAAGUUUAGCAACUAUCCAACCUAUCUAGCAGCAUGUGAAGACUGGACCAAAAAAAGGGGUCUCAAACGUGGAUUCCAGCGCUAUGAAGAUGCAACUGGCUGGCGUCGGACCGGAUGCGGCAUCUGCCAGCCAGGCGAGACCAAGCACCGCGAGAGAAGAAUAUACAGCAGUCUACCUGCAAGACUCUGAGCAAGAGCAUUGUACGAUGGUGGUAUGCAACCACCAUAGUUCCCAAAUUUGUAAAUUUGGGAACUGUGGCCUAAAUUUGUACUUCCGACUAUAUUAAACCCAGUGUUUUUUUAAUUGCCCAAAA